AAGCUUACAGAAGUGAUUGUUGAUAACUCAAAUUAAUUUUUAAAAAAUGCCAAAAAAAUCCCUAAAAAACAAAUUACAGAUAGUUCAGAGUUUAUGUUUUAGGUGCGAUUUUUUUUAUUUUCUUUGGAUACUUGUAUUUAUAGUUAUUAAAUUAACAAUUUUUAAAGAACCAAGUGACUCCUAAAAGCUAGGCAUGUAAAAAAGAAAAUUUAAAGAAAAAUAAGAAAAGUUCAGCAUAGUGGAGCCAUCUAGCAUCAAGGUAAUUACUUGCAUGCCUCAGGAGCCUCAGAGGGUACAUAAUACUUACUCAAAUUGAAUAUCUGAGUCAAGGGAAAAAAAUUAAAUUAUGUUCAGUUCAAAAGCUUUGACAUCAAAAGCAGUGAACUUCAGUUGUUGAUUUCCCCUCACAGUAGGAUGCUUGCUGGUGAUUAGGACAAUUAAUGGGGCCUGAGGGAAAAAACGGGUGGGGAAAAGAAGGGUGUGGUCCAAGUCUUGCUAGGAAAGAUAACCAGGGCUUCAAACCUGGCUUGUAGAAGCUCCUGGGUAAACAAAAGCAAAAAUUUACCUAGGAGACUUCAUGAACCUUAUAAUUUGGGGUUGAAGCAAAAUAGCCGAGAAGCAAGAAAAGAUAGUAAGACAUUUAUAGAGAGAUUUCAAUGUUUGCAAAGUGCUUUACAUAGAUGUUUAUUUGAUCCUCGAAACAACCAAUUCAUUAUAAAGACCAAAUCCUAAGUCUAGAAGCUAGAAGCGACCUCAGACAUCAUCUGCUCCAACCUUCUAAUUUUGCAGAUGAGGAAACAGUCGGGAGGAACUGGAAAGAGGAAGCCCCAAACUUCCUUAAAGAAAGUCCCAGAGCUGGAUUCGCUCAUGUACAGUGCCGGACACUUCACUACUUCUCUCUUUAAUGACUUCACUUUCACUAUUGCAAUCCUUGGGAGAGGACGUGUCGGUGGUAGCUGGUGGAGCUGUGGAUGAUGAGGAUGAGCUAGAAAGAAACUGACAUCAAAGAGAUUAAGUGAAUUGACCGUGGUCUCAACUAAUAUACUUCUGAAAUAGGAUUCAAACCCAGAUCUGCAUGACUCAGAGUUCAACACUCUAACCAUAAAGAUGCCACAUUCCCUUUCCAGUUUCAUAAAAUAAUGCAGGAGUCGAGUUGAAUAAGGAAAUUGUGAAAGUGACCUGGAGGGUUUUGAACUUGGAAAAAUGGUCCAAAAUUGAAUUCAUGGAGGAAAAAUGUGGGAGAAUCCAAGAAGCUGAAGAACAACUUGUCGUAAAGUAGAAGAGCUCAAUCUGAACAAGGCAAAAGAUUGAAUAGAAAUACUGCAGAGGAUUCCAGGAAGAGUAUGAGUAGGAAAAGGAGACCCACCGUUUUCCAGAGCUAAGGUCCAGCAAGCAAGGUGUGCCCUGAACUCGGCAUAACAACAAUCCUUUGCACUCCUUCUGGAUGAACUCUGCUGCAGCAAAAUACCAGAAUUGUUUCGCACCAGCACCAGGUGGUCCCUGAGCUUGGACAAACACCUGCAGGAACCAUGUUCCAGUCAUGAAGACCUGCUAUGAAUCAAACUUGCCUCAUUGUUGCUGUCACCCCCUCACUGGCAUGGCUACAGCUCACUGUGUAGCCACAACUACCUAUCUAAGUUUAGCCUCAUUGUCUUGGGUCUCCUCCUAGAGGAGGCCUUGGCAUGUGUAUCUAGUUUCCGUCCUCCAAAGGAAUAAAGAAUGCUUUUUGCUUA